rnacentral:rRNA from 1 species
AUAGGCGAAGCGUGCGAUUGGAUUGCACGUCUAAGCAGUAAGGCUGAGUAUUAGGCAAAUCCGGUACUCGUUAAGGCUGAGCUGUGAUGGGGAGAAGACAUUGUGUCUUCGAGUCGUUGAUUUCACACUGCCGAGAAAAGCCUCUAGAUAGAAAAUAGGUGCCCGUACCGCAAACCGACACAGGUAGUCAAGAUGAGAAUUCUAAGGUGAGCGAGCGAACUCUCGUUAAGGAACUCGGCAAAAUGACCCCGUAACUUCGGGAGAAGGGGUGCUCUUUAGGGUUAACGCCCAGAAGAGCCGCAGUGAAUAGGCCCAAGCGACUGUUUAUCAAAAACACAGGUCUCUGCUAAACCGUAAGGUGAUGUAUAGGGGCUGACGCCUGCCCGGUGCUGGAAGGUUAAGAGGAGUGGUUAGCUUCUGCGAAGCUACGAAUCGAAGCCCCAGUAAACGGCGGCCGUAACUAUAACGGUCCUAAGGUAGCGAAAUUCCUUGUCGGGUAAGUUCCGACCCGCACGAAAGGCGUAACGAUUUGGGCACUGUCUCAACGAGAGACUCGGUGAAAUCAUAGUACCUGUGAAGAUGCAGGUUACCCGCGACAGGACGGAAAGACCCCGUGGAGCUUUACUGUAGCCUGAUAUUGAAAUUCGGCACAGCUUGUACAGGAUAGGUAGGAGCCUUUGAAACGUGAGCGCUAGCUUACGUGGAGGCGCUGGUGGGAUACUACCCUAGCUGUGUUGGCUUUCUAACCCGCACCACUUAUCGUGGUGGGAGACAGUGUCAGGCGGGCAGUUUGACUGGGGCGGUCGCCUCCUAAAAGGUAACGGAGGCGCUCAAAGGUUCCCUCAGAAUGGUUGGAAAUCAUUCAUAGAGUGUAAAGGCAUAAGGGAGCUUGACUGCGAGACCUACAAGUCGAGCAGGGUCGAAAGACGGACUUAGUGAUCCGGUGGUUCCGCAUGGAAGGGCCAUCGCUCAACGGAUAAAAGCUACCCCGGGGAUAACAGGCUUAUCUCCCCCAAGAGUUCACAUCGACGGGGAGGUUUGGCACCUCGAUGUCGGCUCAUCGCAUCCUGGGGCUGUAGUCGGUCCCAAGGGUUGGGCUGUUCGCCCAUUAAAGCGGUACGCGAGCUGGGUUCAGAACGUCGUGAGACAGUUCGGUCCCUAUCCGUCGUGGGCGUAGGAAAUUUGAGAGGAGCUGUCCUUAGUACGAGAGGACCGGGAUGGACAUACCUCUGGUGUACCAGUUGUCGUGCCAACGGCAUAGCUGGGUAGCUAUGUGUGGACGGGAUAAGUGCUGAAAGCAUCUAAGCAUGAAGCCCCCCUCAAGAUGAGAUUUCCCAACUUCGGUUAUAAGAUCCCUCAAAGAUGAUGAGGUUAAUAGGUUCGAGGUGGAAGCAUGGUGACAUGUGGAGCUGACGAAUACUAAUCGAUCGAAGACUUAAUC